UACGUAGGUGGCAAGCGUUGUCCGGAUUUAUUGGGUUUAAAGGGUGCGUAGGCGGUUGUAUAAGUCAGUGCUGAAAUAUCCCGGCUUAACCGGGAGGGUGGCAUUGAUACUGUAUGACUUGAGUAAAGUUGAGGUAGGCGGAAUUGACGGUGUAGCGGUGAAAUGCUUAGAUAUCGUCAAGAACACCGAUUGCGAAGGCAGCUUACUAAGCUUUAACUGACGCUGAGGCACGAAAGUGUGGGGAUCAAACAGGAUUAGAAACCCUCGUAGUCC
rnacentral:rRNA from 1 species